GUGUCAGCCGCCGCGGUAAUACGGAGGGUGCAAGCGUUGUCCGGAUUUAUUGGGUUUAAAGGGUGCGUAGGCGGCUGAUUAAGUCAGCGGUGAAAGACUUCGGCUUAACCGGAGCAGUGCCGUUGAUACUGGUUAGCUUGAGUGUUGGAGGGGUACAUGGAAUUGAUGGUGUAGCGGUGAAAUGCAUAGAUACCAUCAGGAACACCGAUAGCGAAGGCAUUGUACUGGCCAACAACUGACGCUGAUGCACGAAAGUGUGGGGAUCGAACAGGAUUAGAAACCCUGGUAGUCC
rnacentral:rRNA from 1 species